rnacentral:miRNA from 1 species
CAUCGUGCAGAAGUUUGAGUGUC